AUUGAACGCUGGCGGCAGGCCUAACACAUGCAAGUCGGACGGUAGCACAGAGAGCUUGCUCUCGGGUGACGAGUGGCGGACGGGUGAGUAAUGUCUGGGGAUCUGCCCGAUAGAGGGGGAUAACCACUGGAAACGGUGGCUAAUACCGCAUAACGUCGCAAGACCAAAGAGGGGGACCUUUGGGCCUCUCACUAUCGGAUGAACCCAGAUGGGAUUAGCUAGUAGGCGGGGUAACGGCCCACCUAGGCGACGAUCCCUAGCUGGUCUGAGAGGAUGACCAGCCACACUGGAACUGAGACCCGGUCCAGACUCCUACGGGAGUAAGCAGUGGGGAAUAUUGCACAAUGGGCGCAAGCCUGAUGCAGCCAUGCCGCGUGUAUGAAGAAGGCCUUCGGGUUGUAAAGUACUUUCAGCGGGGAGGAAGGCGAUGUGGUUAAUAACCGCGUCGAUUGACGUUACCCGCAGAAGAAGCACCGGCUAACUCCGUGCCAGCCGCCGCAGUAA
rnacentral:rRNA from 1 species